rnacentral:misc_RNA from 1 species
UCCGGUUUGUCACCGGCAGUCUCAUUAGAGUGCCCAACUGAAUGUAGCAACUAAUGACAAGGGUUGCGCUCGUUGCGGGACUUAACCCAACAUCUCACGACACGAGCUGACGACAGCCAUGCAGCACCUGUGUUCCGAUUCCCUUUCGGGCACACUCGCCUCUCAGCAAGCUCUCGGACAUGUCAAGGGUAGGUAAGGUUUUUCGCGUUGCAUCGAAUUAAUCCACAUAAUCCACCGCUUGUGCGGGUCCCCGUCAAUUCCUUUGAGUUUUAGCCUUGCGGCCGUACUCCCCAGGCGGGGCACUUAAUGCGUUAGCUGCGGCACCGACAUGCAUGCAUGCCGACGCCUAGCACUCAUCGUUUACGGCGUGGACUAC